AUGUGAGGGCCUUUGAUUUCUUCUCAUUUGGACAGGUAUGGCUCAGUAACAGGCAUGAGACCGCAGAAUUCCAGCAUAGUCACCGAGCUGGUCCUUGUUGGGUUUUCUGACCAACCCCAGACUGAGGUUCCCCUCUUCUUCUUCUUCUCUCUGGUCUACCUAGCCAACUGCUUGGGGAAUACAGCUGUUGUCACAUUAGUGGCUCUAGAUGUCUCUCUGCAGACACCCAUGUAUUUCUUCCUGUGCCACCUGGCUGUCCUCAAUGGAUUCUUCAGCAUGGUUGUGACUCCAAAGAUGCUCUUCAAUUUCCUUGCAAGCAGGAAGGUCAUAUCUUACCCAUUCUGCCUGGCUCAGACUUACCUCACCUUGUUCUUGGAGUCGACCGAGUGCUUUCUCCUUGCAGUGAUGGCCAUAGAUCGCUACGUGGCCAUCUGCUACCCACUGAGGUAUCUUCUGAUCAUGAGCUGGGCGGUGUGCACGGCACUGGCAGUGGCGGUCUGGGUCACAGGCUUUUGUGCCUCGGUUAUACCUCUCUGCUUCACGAUCCUCCCACUCUGUGGUCCUUAUGUUGUUGAUUAUCUUUUCUGUGAGCUGCCCAUCCUUCUGCACCUGUUCUGUGCAGAUACGUCUCUGCUGGAGGCCACGAUGGCCGUUGGAGGGGCUGGUACUGUGCUGUUCCCGUUCCUGCUGAUUGUUCUCUCCUACCUUCGCAUCCUGUUGGCUGUGAUAAGAAUAGACUCGGCUGAGGGCAGAAAAAAAGCCUUUUCAACCUGUGCUUCGCACUUGGCUGUGGUGAGCAUCUAUUACGGAACGGGGCUGAUCAGGUACUUGAGGCCCAAGUCGCUUUACUCCGCUGAGGGAGACAAACUGAUCUCUGUGUUCUACGCCAUCAUUGGCCCUGCGCUGAACCCGUUCAUCUACAGCCUUCGGAACAAGGAAGUGCAGGGCGCCUUGAGGAGAAUGGUCGAGAAAUACAAGAAAAGCACAAGAAUCGCCUUCUAG